rnacentral:rRNA from 1 species
UACGGGGGGGGCAAGCGUUGUUCGGAAUUACUGGGCGUAAAGGGCUCGUAGGUGGCCAACUAAGUCAGACGUGAAAUCCCCAGGCUUAACCUGGGAACUGCGUCUGAUACUGGAUGGCUUGAAUUCGGGAGAGGGAUGCAGAAUUCCAGGUGUAGCGGUGAAAUGCGUAGAUAUCUGGAGGAAUACCGGUGGCGAAGGCGGCAUCCUGGACCGAGAUUGACACUGAGGAGCGAAAGCGUGGGGAGCGAACAGG